rnacentral:rRNA from 1 species
CCUACGGGAGGCAGCAGUGAGGAAUAUUGGUCAAUGGACGCAAGUCUGAACCAGCCAUGCCGCGUGCAGGAAGACGGCCCUAUGAGUUGUAAACUGCUUUUGUACGAGGGUAAACGCAGAUACGCGUAUCUGUCUGAAAGUAUCGUACGAAUAAGGAUCGGCUAACUCCGUGCCAGCAGCCGCGGUAAUACGGAGGAUUCAAGCGUUAUCCGGAUGUAUUGGGUUUAAAGGGUGCGUAGGCGGUCGGAUGAGUUAGAGGUGAAAUCCCGAGGCUCAACUUCGGAAGUGCCUGUGAUACUGUUCAGCUAGAGAGUUGUAGAGGUGGGGAGAAUGUAAGGUGUAGCGGUGAAAUGCUUAGAGA